rnacentral:rRNA from 1 species
UACGGGGGGGAGCAAACGUUGUUCGGAAUCAUUGGGCGUAAAGAGCGUGUAGGCGGCCAGAUAAGUCCGCUGUGAAAUCUCGAGGCUCAACUUCGAGCUGUCGGUGGAAACUGUCUGGCUAGAGUCCGGAAGAGGAGAAUGGAAUUCCUGGUGUAGCGGUGAAAUGCGCAGAUAUCAGGAAGAACACCCGUGGCGAAGGCGGUUCUCUGGGACGGUACUGACGCUGAGACGCGAAAGCGUGGGGAGCGAACAGG